AUGCUCAUGUCCAGCUGCAGGCUCAGCCGUGUGUGUGGGGGGGGAGGGUGUUCCUCCUUGGACUUUGUCAAUUCAUAUUCCCCACCUCCAUCUUCAGCGCCAAUGGAGUUCUUAGCAGGAACAAUGGCCUGAACAAGCUGCCAGGACGCUUCGUUCCGCUCCGUGUCAGGCUUGGAGCUGGUGUUCUGCCAAACUGCGGUGCUAUGUUCUUGGUACAGAGUAUACGUGAAGCCAGGCAGCAGCAGUGGCAGCAAACUCCGGAGUGCCAGCUCUCCCGCACUUGCACAGCUCUGGCUUGGGGCCUGGUGUGAAAAACAGGAGGUACAGAGGCUGGCACUGCCCAGGGUUUGCACUAGCUGUCCUGGGAUUCCACAGAUAUGCCAAGGAAAGUGAGGCACUCCACCGCUUCCGGCCCUGAGAAUGUCCCGGGAUGGAGCCACAUGGCGCUCGCCUUCCUAUGAAAACCCUGCAUGAAGGCCAGCUGCAAUCUGAAAGAGGAUUCCCAAGGCAGCCAUCUCCAUCCCGGAAGAGGGAGCCUAGAAGGAGCUUCGAAGAAGCCCGGAAGGGAAAAGGCAGCCAACCCCAAGACCUUCCCACAGUCCCACGCCCCAGAGCUGUGAUUCUUCCCAAAGGUCAGAGGUUGGCUGACACUGGCCUAGUUUACUGUGACCUGAACAGGCCAGGCCCCCAGCCACGAGCAGGGACCCGACUGACUCCUCUAAGUUCUGAAGCCUAUGGUGGCAGAGACAGACGCAAACGACCUGGUUCCACGGGUCUGCUUCCGUGUCCCGCUGUCCUGAGGGCUUCUCCCUGUAUGGGACAGAGCAGAAGCUUCUCUCGGGCUGCAGUGCUGGUUCCCUGGCAGGGCCCAGGUGAUUGUGAGGCAAGGCACGGUGGCCUACCCGGCUGGGCAUGACGGAGCCCAGCUUAGGAGGCUGGGGCAAGCAGACUAAUGGGAGACCAGUCUGUGCCGCACAGUGAGUCAGAGGCUCUUCUGGACUAUACAGCUAGACCUUGUCUCAAAAACAAACAAACAAACAAACAAUUUAGUUUAGGGUGUCCUGGUGGUUCUGUUGACACCCAGCGCCCCAUAUAGGAGAGUAGAAGAGCAAAGGAGAGCAGCAGUCACAGCCUAUAGCUGGGGGAGGAGCAUGAAGCCAGGGCAGCUAUCGCCCGGGUCAGCUGCUACCGAGGGGCCAGCACCUCAGUCUCAGUCAGUGGAUGUCCUGGAACCCCAAGGAAGACCAAGAGCCUUGUUUCCCUUACUGGGUGAGGACCCUGAAAUUGGACUGGAGGUUUGUUUUGAGGAUCCAGUGUGAUCAAGCUUAGGAAAGAGGGCGAGGCCUCCCAUGAGAGAGCCCCUCAUGGGAGGUGUGUCACCGUGUUUGGAAGUGUCAGGCCUUUCCAGCUUGCCGAAGCGCCCAGGUUUAUUUUUAAAUGUUAUUGGAUUUCCUACAAAACGACGACAGUCUGCAGUGUGUGUUCCAAGGGUCUGCCCCACUCACAACGGCUCCCAUUAAACCCACAGUUAAGCAACAAGGUCAGUAUCAGACCGAGGAGUAAAGCCCCACAGCUCCCAAGGGUGCCCUGCCAACACGGAGGCCAGCUUGUAUUGCUGGGCAGUCAAGACCUUGGGACUUAGACCUUUGGGGGCCAGUUGUUGUCGUAAGAGCUGGGAUUUUGAAAGAGUAGGUUAACCCAGAUACACAGAGAGGUUGAGGCAUGCAGCCAGGAGACAUGAGGGUGGGAGCUGACGGAGUUCCUGUUGAGGCCGCCUCACCAUUAAAGUCUACAGCCUAAUGGAAAAGGCUAGGUCACACCAGUCAGACAGAGGCUGCAGGGACACUUGGUCUUUCAGUUCCUGACCAAACCUGAACAGAGCUGGAAAGCCACGCCGCUCUCCCUGUGAACUGGGCACAAGCUGACACAUGGCACAGCUCGCCAGCAAGUGGAAGCUGCAGACGUCAGCAGAACACGGAGCCCCGGUGCGUGGACUUCCAAACUCCACCGCGACCUAGGCAGGAAAGCCAAUAACGGUGGCAAUCGCACUAGGAGCCUAGGGCAGUGUCUGCAGGAGUCAGACCUAGCUGGCGGCCAGCCAACGACAGGAACACUGCUGUCCCUGCCGUCACUGGGAUUUGCUGGUCUUUUCUGCGCAGGCAGAGAUUAGGUUUCGCUGCUACUGUAGAUAAUCUGUUUGGGCCGUGGUCAUAUCAGCACCUAGUGGGUAAGUGUGGAACGGAGAGUGAUGUCUAGAAGGGAUCCUACCACAACAAGUGGAGAAAGACUCUGCGAUGAGCAAGUGGAUUGAGAUGGCCUUGCUUCUCUACUGUAUCGGGGUAAGAACUAAAGUGGAAACAAAGGUUUCUGGCCCUGUGUUUCCACCUGUGGCGGGAGCAUAUUUAAAAGGGCGUAGUACUAGGAGUUGUGGCCACGGAGUCUCUCAGGCCCGUAUCUUGCUGAGGGAGCAGGCUGUCGCCACAUUUGGCUGUGGCACCUCAUCCAUGAAACAUCGUCCCCAACAGUGGAUUAGAACAGCUGGCCGGAACAGAAUUGACCUGCUCGGCUCCAGACAGCAGACAAGAUGGCCGCUGGGAUGUGUGGAGUUCUAAUGCCACCCCCACCCCACGCUGAAACUAUAAUCCAUAAAUCUGUGAGUGAGACUUCAUCUGAAAACAGGGGAAAUUCCCCUACAGAUUUCAAAGGGAGUUUGCCCCAGGUGACGCUUCAUCCUGGACCAACAGCCUCCAAAACUGGGGGGACGUUCUAUGGAGCUUUAAGCCACUGAGUGUAGCAAUUUGUUCUAGCAGCCCUGAGGAAUGAACACAGUUACCCCAGUGAACGAGCUGUUUCCAGAAGCUGAAUGAGAACGGUUAUGAGUUAAACUGUAUUCCAAAAGUUCCAGGACCUCAAAUAUGACUGUAUUUGGAAGCAGAGUUAUUACAGAUGUAAUAUCAAUACAGUCCUUAGAAAGAAAGAAAGAAAGAAAGAAAGAAAGAAAGAAAGAAAAGAAAAGAAAGAAAGAAAGAAAGAAAGAAAGAAAGAAAGAAAGGAAAAAGAAAGAAAGAAAGAGAAAGAAAGAAAGAAAGAAAGAAAGGAAAGAAAGAGAAAAAAAGAAAGAAAGAAAGAAAGAAAGAAAGAAAGAGAAAGAAAAAAGAAAGAAGAAAAUUUCAACUUACAACCAGAGACAGAGAGGCAAUCGAAUGGGAUGAAAUCAGCCGUUUAUAUUUACAAUCAAAGGAUGGGGGUAAGAUCGCCAACAAAUUGGCAAAAACUAGGAAAAAACUAGGAAAGAGGCCCGGGGGGAAUCUCCCACAGAGCUCCCCCCCCCACUGCCACUUUGACCUUGGGUUUUCCAGCCUCUAAAGCUCAGGAACAACACGCCUCUUUUGUUUAACUCAUCCUGUGAGUGGAAUGAUGCCUAGCUAGAGGCACAAGGAAAUGCCGUGGGAAUGAAGAGGACCCAGGAGGAAGGAGAAGCUGGGAGGCUGUGGCAUGCUGAGGUCUGGAGAGCAGCAGAUAAAGAGGCGAGGUCCUCCUGGAGGACUCAGGGGAACGUGGCCGCCAAGCAGGCUGCGGAAGCCCCAGCGCGACCUGACUGUGUGCUGCUGCUCCCGAGGUGGUCGGUCACCCUGGGAUCCUCAAAAGCCACCUGCCGUUCUGGAGUGAGCUGACAUGAACUGAGGAUGUAGUUCACUUGAUAGCACGCUUGCCUAGCACACACCAAGCCCUGGGCUCAGUGCAGUUAAGUACCACACAAGCUGGAAAUGGUGGCACACGCUACCGUAAUCUCCACACUUGGGAAAGUGGGGCAGGACAAUUAACAUCCUCCUUGAUGACAUAGUCAGUUCAAGACCAGACUGGGAUGUAAGAGACCCCGUCCCUCCAAAAAGAUGUUGACUUUGAAAGGGGGUAACUAGGGUAAAUAAUUCUGACUAAAUUGGUGUAGAAAAUGAUAAUGAUGUGCAUGGGAACAGGAGUCUAGAGAGAUAGACACUGCCUAGGAAAGGGGCCUUUCCGUGUUGUUAGAAGUGUCAUAGAUUCUUGGCCUAUCAGUCCAGGACACAGUGCUGACUGCACAAGGAUUGACUUGAAUACCCCUUAGUAAGGUUACUACCAGGAAGAUUAGGAACACUUUUAUUGUGUUCCUAAAAGAACUUCCCAAGUUUCUGAGGUGAAGGGGGAGAAAGACGAGAAGGAAGAGAGACAAGGUGUGUUUCCUUCUCAGUCAAAGAACAAAGCUGAAAACGAAGGAUGGACCUCCCUGGCAUAGAAUUAAAAGGCAAUGCCAGGCUUCUGUGAGCCCAACAAAGGGCACUUUCGCUGAAGCAACGUCAGGGCUCUGAUAACUCCAAGGGACAUUUGAUACAAGACUUUCCAGAGAACCUCCUAGAACUGCUCAUCCUCCCUGUGUUAUACCCCACCACACAGCAACCCCAGGGCCAGAGUGCUGCAGAGGAAGGAUGUAGAGUGUUCAGAUGCUAGUCUGGAAAGGAGGCAGACUGGUGCCUCUGGUUCCCAGUUUCAGGUCUUUGGCAAGCUUAGGAAUGAGGGGUAAUAUGAAGAGGUCCGAGUUUCCCAGGAGCUCAAGUUGUGUGGUCUAGUGUUUUGGCCCAGAGCUGAGGUGAUAAACCCUAAUGACACCUAUUUUUAAGGGUGAGGUGCUCUAGAAUGUGCAUAGAAUGCCAUAUGCCUUGGGAAUGAGAAAGAGAACAGGAGAAAAGCAAGAUGGAGUCACUGACAGCAACUGCCUUUUGCCAUCACGACAGAUAAUUACCCUUGGAGCUCUGGCUCACCUAGAUCACUUCCUGUCUUCUCUGUUAACAGACUCAAGAAAGGACUUGUAUUUAGAGCUGUUGGUUCAUGUGAAGAAUUGAGCUAAGGUGUCUCUGUUGUGGGCAUUCUAUGAGUUGGGGCAGGGUAGAAAUACCAGAUCCAUCCCAGACCAGGCUUGGAUUUUAGGACUUAUGUUAGGAGUCUAUAGAAGAGGAGCCCAUAGGAGCUUCCCAGACAGGGCUAAAUGUCUGGAUUGAUGACUCACUUCUCAAGGGCUCGUCAGCAGGCCAGGUGACCUAUAUACGGGCAGGAAGAAAUGUGUGCUUUGAGGAGCACCAAGGAGGGACUGCUCAGAGCACAGUCAGGUCACAUCCUGCUCCACUGGGGAACUGGCUCUGAAUUGCUUUGCUGCUCUUUUCCCCAUGCCCUGAGAGGGAAUGCAGUGUGUGAAAUGGGGCCUCUCUUGUCACCGGCUGAAGUCUGUGUCCCUUCGGCGGUGGUGACAGUCCACAGAGGAGAGGAGGCAGGUGUUGACAUCAAAGGCCCCAAAGAUGACAAACCCUUUUAAAGGUAGCAAAACCUUGGUGACGCUGUUUUCUGUGGUUACCCCAGGGGUGGACUAUAGGCCUGCCGAGCUAUGGGUUAAUGUGGUGAAAAUGAGGGAAGAAAUUAAAAAUGAACAAUAUGUCUUGACUGUCGUGGCAAUAUUUGACCAGCUGUUACAAGAGCAAGCCCAGGAAGGAUGAGCCCGUUUAUAAACAGAAAUAGGAAGAAGAGGAUGGAGGGAGUCGGAGCUGUGAUAUUAGCAAGUCUGGAAAAAUUUCCUGUUUCUCUAUCCAAAGUGCUAGGAAAGGAGAUUAAAAUGAGUUUUAUUGGGCCCAGGGCUUGGCUCAGUGGCAGGAGCACUUGCCUACCAAGUGCAAGGCCCUGAGCUCUACCUUCGACACUAAGUAUAAACAGAAGGAAAAGUUGUGUCUAAAAAUAAUUUUAAAUGGCAAAGCUUAGGAGGACACCGUAAUCGGGCACUGAUGUUAAGCCCUGGGGUCAAGAUCUGAUUGAAGAGAUCUUUCUGGAUUGGACAUGCAGCUUAGUCGGUAGAAUGCUUGCUCGGUAUGCUUGGAGCCUGACACUGGAUCCCCAGCACCAGAACUUCUUGGUACACAUACCUGUAAGCACAGCACCAGUUAGGUGGUGACAGGGUGAUCAGGAGUUCAAGGUCAUACUCAGCUACAUAGGGAGUUUGGGGGCCAGUGUGGGCUACAUGAGAUUCUGUCCUUAAAAAUGAAUAACCUAGCCAGGUGGUGAUGGUACACACCUUUAAUCCCAGCGCUUAAAAGCUAGAGGCAGGUGGAUCUCUGAGUUGGAGGCCAGCCUGGUCUACAGCUUGUGUUCCAGAACAGCCAGAGCCAUCCCGAGAAACCCCAACUUGAAACAAACAAAAAACAGCAAGAGCAAGAGAGGAAAUAGAAAACCACUUUUUAUUAGCCCAAGGUAUUGUACUACAAUGUGAGCAGGUGAUGUUCAAGGGAAAAAAAUAAAGCAGUGUAGACUCCACAUCUAGAGAAGUUUUGUUUUGUUUUGUCUUGUUUUUAAUUUAUAUUAUGUGUCUGGGUGCCUGUGGGCCACCUACUGUGAGUGCUGGCAAUCAAAGUUGGAGCCUCUAGAACAGCAAGUACCCUUAACCACUGAGCUGUCUCUCCAGCCUCUAGGGAAGGGUUUGAAUGUGGCUAGAGGCACAGACCCUGGCCAGAAACAAACAUGUAAGAAACUUACUACAUUUCUGUGAAAAUUAUUGUUUGAGAAAUCAUGAAGCUGACCUCAUCCUUCUUAAAGUUUUGACUGAGGCAGACUUAACAUGAACUUUUGAAUACUCAGGAAGGAAGUUCACACACCUAGAAUGUGCUAAGGAGAAACCCAUCCCAGGAAGGGCUUCCAGAAAGAAACCAAGGGUGUGCAGAAAACAGAUGUAGGGUACCUGAGGCGGAUAGCUCACAGAGAACUAUAGCUAUUGCAAUUGUACUGGCAGGAAUGAGAACAUUCUAAAGACAACUGUGCCCUUGACUGUUAGACUACUGAAGCAAUGGAACUGAAGGAAUGCAAAUUUCACCAAAUACACAACAUCCUGGGAGAAGAAAAAUGCUGAAGCGUGCCACCAGCCAGAGGAGGAAUUUGUCCCCACCUCCAUAACCCCAGGAAGAGAUUCUGCAGAGUUCUGACAAUGUAUUUGACCACCUGUAGGGCAGACAAGCCCAGAAAAUGAAGAACCAAUGAUCGGCAGAACUACAUGGCCCAGGACUGCUUAGCUUUUGGCUCUACUUAACUCUCAACUCUCUGCUACCCCAGACCCAAUUUCUCAGGGUCACCCUGACCCUGCAACAGAACACCAGCUGCAGCUUCCCCUCCCUCUGUCCAGGCCUCCUGUGAAUUUCUUGGAAUCAAUAAAACAAAGAGUUGCUUCUUUGAGUGCCACACCCACUCCAGCGUCUGGUGUAGCAUAUCAAUGGAUAGCACUACUCAGACUAAGAGACAUGUGUCCUUCAGGAUUAUGCUCUCUGGAGGUCCCUGGCAGACCCCCCCACACCUGGCAAAGAGAUGCGUUCUGAGAUUUCUACGCUUUUUCGGUUGCGGUUGUAGGGCUGGAUUAAUGAGUUUUUUGAUCUUUCUUUAUGAUUCCUGAAACAGCACAACUAACUAUUCAAGGAAAUAUAUUUUUGAUAGAUUAUUAAAAGCUUUAGCAAGAAUAGAGUAAAAGAAAAAUAAGUAAUGAAUCAGAUUUAGUAUUAGAAAGCAUUAUAAGAAUAGUGAAAAAAUAAUGGGCUCCUUCUUAGGAAAAAAUAGCAUAAGCAAGUACAGCAGGCUCGAGCAUGCCUCCCUUUAGCGUCUUGUUUCUAAGGAAGAUUAUAAAUCUUUAGGAAAACUUAUGGGAGGAUGGUUGACCAAGGUGUAUUUAGACUUUAAUGUAGAAAAAGACAUUGGCAGGUAUUUGACUUGGCUCGGAGGACUAUUACAGCUCCUGACUUUCCCCUUCAGUGAUAGUGAAACCACAGUUUGAGGAUUUUGUUUCUUGUUUGCGUUGAUCAGAAAGUUACUAGACCAAGAUUUCUUGUGGGCACUACUUUACGCUUGGCUACACUUUUGAGUUAAAACAUAAACUUUGUAUCCUUGGCAAAAGUUUGAAUGUUUUGGAAAGCGUGCCAACUUUAAGGUGCUUCCUUAUGAAAUCACUAUAAAAUUAUUAGACUGACUUCAGUAAAAUCACAGCAGUAGAAUUA